UGGGGAAUAUUGGUCAAUGGGCGCAAGCCUGAUCCAGCCAUGCCGCGUGUGUGAAGAAGGCCUUUCGGUUGUAAAGCACUUUAAGCGAGGAGGACGCUACUUGGAUUAAUACUCUAGGAUAGUGGACGUUACUCGCAGAAUAAGCACCGGCUAACUCUGUGCCAGCAGCCGCGGUAAUACAGAGGGUGCGAGCGUUAAUCGGCUUUACUGGGCGUAAAGCGUGCGUAGGCGGCUUUUUAAGUCGGAUGUGAAAUCCCUGAGCUUAACUUAGGAAUUGCAUUCGAUACUGGGAAGCUAGAGUAUGGUAGAGGAUGGUAGAAUUCCAGGUGUAGCGGUGAAAUGCGUAGAGAUCUGGAGGAAGACCGAUGGCGAAGGCAGCCAUCUGGCCUAAUACUGACGCUGAGGUACGAAAGAAUGAGGAGCAAACAGG
rnacentral:rRNA from 1 species